GACGAACGCUGGCGGCGUGCUUAACACAUGCAAGUCGAACGGAAAGGCCCUGCUUUUGUGGGGUGCUCGAGUGGCGAACGGGUGAGUAACACGUGAGUAACCUGCCCUUGACUUUGGGAUAACUUCAGGAAACUGGGGCUAAUACCGGAUAGGAGCUCCUGCUGCAUGGUGGGGGUUGGAAAGUUUCGGCGGUUGGGGAUGGACUCGCGGCUUAUCAGCUUGUUGGUGGGGUAGUGGCUUACCAAGGCUUUGACGGGUAGCCGGCCUGAGAGGGUGACCGGCCACAUUGGGACUGAGGUACGGCCCAGACUCCUACGGGAGGCAGCAGUGGGGAAUAUUGCACAAUGGGCGGAAGCCUGAUGCAGCAACGCCGCGUUCGGGAUGACGGCCUUCGGGUUGUAAACCGCUUUCGCCUGUGACGAAGCGUGAGUGACGGUAAUGGGUAAAGAAGCACCGGCUAACUACGUG
rnacentral:rRNA from 1 species